AGAGGCACUGAAGUACAGCAAUGACUCAAACAUACUUGAGCUUCAAAAGGCUGCCAGAGAAUGUUGCGGUGAAGUUGCCUGACUCCAGCGAAUGGUGCCUGUGAAGUCCAGGAGCACAGCGCUGGUGUAAGGAAGCUCAAAACCCAUUUGCAGAGAGAAAGAAGAUAAAUGCCUCCGAAUGAGAACUUUUUCAGCUCCUGUUCUUUGGAAACACUUUGGGAAAUUUUUGAGGCCAGGAGUUCCAAGCUGCAGUGUGUGAUUAUCAUGUCUGUGACUGGCCACGGCACUCCAGCCUGGGCAACGUAGCAAGACCUCAUCUCUUUAAAAAAGGUCUGAGCGGCUCCUAGGGGCCAAUCCCUGUGUGAGGCAACAACAGAGGGAAGACAAGAAGAUGGCUACAUGCACCCACCACCUGACUGCAGCAGCUCACAGGCCCCCCAGGGCUGGCAUUGCCUGACCCAGAGAAUGUGGCAAGGGGUGCCACCAAGGCAAACACAGGAGGAAUGUUUAGACAGUGUGCUGGUCCCCACACCAGCCUCUGACUUGAAGUGCCUCCAUUCCCCUAGCAAUUGCAUGAAACAAAAGUUGUGCAGACCUCACAUCUGAUCGAUUCUCUUCUCUUUAUGGACAUAUGUUAGACUUGGAAAUAAACUUGUAUUAAAAGAUA